rnacentral:rRNA from 1 species
CACCGGCAGCUCUAGUGGUGGCAGUUUUUAUUGGGCCUAAAGCGUCCGUAGCCGGUUUAAUAAGUCUCUGGUGAAAUCCUGUAGCUUAACUGUGGGAAUUGCUGGAGAUACUAUUAGACUUGAGACCGGGAGAGGUUAGAGGUACUCCCAGGGUAGAGGUGAAAUUCUGUAAUCCUGGGAGGACCGCCUGUUGCGAAGGCGUCUAACUGGAACGGUUCUGACGGUGAGGGACGAAAGUUAGGGGCGCGAACCGGAUUAGAUACCCGGGUAGUCCUAACUGUAAACGAUGCGGACUUGGUGUUGGGGUGGCUUUGAGCUGCUCCAGUGCCGAAGGGAAGCUGUUAAGUCCGCCGCCUGGGAAGUACGGUCGCAAGACUGAAACUUAA